AAUUAAUGGGGCAUUAAAUUGUGUCACUUAAUAGUCCAUAAGACAUAAUUAUAAAUCUUUAGAGACGAUGUCUUCUCUCACCGUGUAAGUUUUACCGGCGCUAAUAGAAGAUACAUUGGUACAAAGUCUCCAAACGCAGCUUCAUUUUUGGGAUUCGAAGGCGAAGAGAAUCAAGAAUUUAAUAUACAUUGCCUGCGAUUGUGAUGACAGAUGGGCCAAAAGACCUUUACUUGGCAUUCCAAGCGCGAAGAAAAGAAAGGACGCCUACCAGAAACCUGGGAAUAAAGGAGGAAGGAUUGGGAAAUAGUGGCGAGGAUGAGAGGCAAGUGGAAGAA